rnacentral:lncRNA from 1 species
UGAGAUUGAUCUCAUUUAAAGCCUUGGAAACCCUAUUGUUAGGUCAUGAAUCAUGGGGGUGAAGUCGGUUUUGGUAUUCGGCAAGCCGGCGUGAAGUUCUCGGCAAAAUAGGGCCGGGUUAGUGUUGAUUUGGGUAAGGAAGGCUAAAGCCUUUUCGUAAAGCUCGCUGAGGAGCGUUUCCGAAACCUCUACAUCGAUUAAAGGUGGGGGGUGCCAUCCCGAAGCUUUCGAACUCCUUUCUAUGUCUUAGAUUGCAUUUAAUCUCAUCUCUUCAUGUUGCAUUGUAGGAUUGCAUAGUAGCUCCAUUCCUUAUACUUUCUAAAUGAUAACCUAGUGUACUUGGAAUGCUUGGUAAUUUAGAUAGGUGANGUAGAUCAAUCCCAAGAAUCUAGGGAUUUAUUGAUGGUUUGCUAAAGGUGCAAACCUAGGGCUCCAAAAUGGAGUUUUUGGUGAAGUAUGAGAUUGAUCUCAUUUGAGGCCUUGUAAACCGAAUUGGUAGGUCACAAAACGCGAGGGCGAAGUUGAUUUCGCGAUUCGUCGAGCGGAUUGGGAUCUAUCGGCGAAAUACGGCCGAUUUAGCCUUGUCUUGGACCAAGAAGGCCGAGACCUUGUCGUAAGGUGCGCCGAGGAGUGUUUCUAAAGCCUCUACAUCGAUUAAAGGUGGGGUAUGCCAUCCCGAAACUUUCGAACUCCUUUCUAUGUCUUAGAUUGCAUUUAAUCUCAUCUCUUCAU